AAGGGGUUAUUAGGGUUUUAACCCAAAACACACCUUCUGGUGCGUACCUGGGAUCGAUCGAACAAGGGGAGCAAGGUGAAAAACCCUUGUUCUUGCUAACUCCCUCAAUUGACCAAGGAAUUCAAGUCUAAUCUGUUGCAUGUCUCAAGUUCUUCGAUUAUCUAUACAUACAUAGUGAUAUGGCACGAAGAAGGAAGAAGACGCAAGUCACUCGAAGGCAUAAGUAUCUCAAGAUCGCGGUAAAACUUCACUCUAGGCGAUUUGGAGAUUUGGAGCGAGCACGGGCCCAUGCUAUGAUAUACCAAAUGCUUCCGCUAGUUUUGUUCGUCUUUAUGGUCCAUGACUUGUUAUUUUGUCCAACUUUGUUAGUAGUCGUAUUUUGCAAAAACUUGUUGUCUUUAUCUUGGGUAGUUUAAUGUCAAAAAGGGUCAUAGAUUGUUGUUAGUUUUAUGUGUUAAAAACAGGGAGGCACGUCCGUUUUACGAACGGGUCAUGCCCAAUUUUCCUAAGAAUUUUAUUAUGUAUCAAAGUUUGGUAAUUUGAUGUCUAUAAAUUACUUUUGUAA